UUCUCUAUUGGCCUCUCUAUGGAUCACAGGAAUCAAACCUGGUCUUUCCUCUGCACUGAUCUUGGGUCAAAGGAAUUAAACCCUGUCUUCCCUCACAGUUAUAAUUCACUGGGUUUUCGAAACACAACAUUUAUUAAGCCUGGUUUGACUCAUUUCUCAUCAAGAAACUUAAAACAGGAUACAUGCAUACACAAGGGAUAAAACAUA
rnacentral:lncRNA from 1 species